UGUUGCACAUGUACUUCACACUUCCACCGCACAGACGUUGGUAUUGUGUUGCAUUAUCCAUGAAGGAUAAGCGGAUUUAGGUCCUUGAUCCUACAUCAGACGAGCCUUUGUCUGAGCACGGUCGUCUAAUUAGCCACAUGUUGAAGUACUUGGACACCCUGUUUUACUCUAAAGACGAGUCAUGGGUAAAGGAUGGACUGAGUGGAUGGGGGGUUGACCUUGUUUCUGUCCCACCGAGCGAUGAUGUGUCAAGUUGUAUUGUAAUGCUAGCAUGGAUAAAGGACAUAGUCCAACGCAACAAAAUUUCUGCCACACUCUAACCGGGUGCAAUAGAGGAUGCAAGGGUAUCACUUGUUGUUGAUGACAUCUUGUGCGAUUUGAAUAUGAGGAGAUCUGAGGUCUACGACCUUAUUUGUGGGAGGCAAGUCCGUGUGUAGACCGUGUUUACGUGCUUGUACUUAUAUUUUUGGAUGUACUUGGUAUACAGUUCUGUAUUUCGGCAACUCUGUUGCAUUUGAAUUCUGGUACUUAGUUUGGAAGUUUGUUUGGAAACUUAAGUAGUUUAUGACCAACAUUUGAUGUUGUAUGUUUAUAUUUCUGCUGUGAAC